rnacentral:miRNA from 1 species
UUGGAAGCUUGGACCAACUAGCUG